GUUGCUGUUUACGAUGUGUUCAUAUAUCGCUUUGUAGUGCUGUAAUGUGCAAAUUAGCGGACUUUAUAGCGGCUCUCUAUUUUCCGUCGUUGUCUUGCGAGCAGCGCCUGUUGUUCCGGUAAAAAUCGAGUUGAAUGAAUCGCCACAGCCCCAACGUAUAUCGCGCAGUGUUGACCAAGUCAAGCAGGAAUUCUGGCAUGGUAUGUGGCUGCACGAAGGAUUCCGAAAAAGAAAAACAACAACAUGGCUAAUAGGAUGUUGCUGCCCAGGGAGUCCUGGCGAAGAGGUUUACUCAUUCCAGAAGCAAGAAUUGUAUCAUUGUAAGGCGAAUGGAAAUAAACUGACAUCGACUGA